rnacentral:rRNA from 1 species
GGUUAGUAGCAAUACUAACUGAGUGGCGAACGGGUGAGUAACACGUGGGUGACCUACCUUCGAGUGGGGGAUAACGUCCCGAAAGGGACGCUAAUACCGCAUAACAUCCUGCCUUUGAACAGGCGGAGAUCAAAGCCGGGGAUCGCAAGACCUGGCGCUUGAUGAGGGGCCCGCGUCUGAUUAGCUAGUUGGUGAGGUAACGGCCCACCAAGGCGACGAUCAGUAUCCGGCCUGAGAGGGCGGACGGACACACUGGGACUGAGACACGGCCCAGACUCCUACGGGAGGCAGCAGUGGGGAAUUGUUCACAAUGGGCGCAAGCCUGAUGACGCAACGCCGCGUGGAGGAUGAAGGUCUUCGGAUUGUAAACUCCUGUUGCUCGGGACGAAAAGCUUCGACCUAAUACGUCGAGGUCUGACGGUACCGAGUGAGGAAGCCCCGGCUAACUCUGUGCCAGCAGCCGCGGUAAUACAGAGGGGGCAAGCGUUGUUCGGAAUUACUGGGCGUAAAGGGCGCGUAGGCGGCCUGCUAAGUCGAACGUGAAAUCCCCGAGCUCAACUCGGGAACUGCGUCCGAUACUGACAGGCUUGAAUCCGGGAGAGGGAUGCGGAAUUCCAGGUGUAGCGGUGAAAUGCGUAGAUAUCUGGAGGAACACCGGUGGCGAAGGCGGCAUCCUGGACCGGCAUUGACGCUGAGGCGCGAAAGCUAGGGGAGCAAACGGG